AACUGACAACACGGGCCUUCUUGCAGCUAGUAGCGGGCCUAGAAUGUUCAGGAUUGAAAGUGGCUAACUUCCUGAUAUUCCUGCACUCCUCCACCAUGAGGUCCUCCUUGCUAGCGCCUCCAUGGAAGCACUUGGAAGGCCUUUUCCACUGAUCACUAUGGCUCAUGAUCCAUUGACUACCCUCUUCCCUUGAGUCUAAUUCCAAAUUUUCUUCUGUCUACUGGGAAGAUGACAUUAAAAGGCUCCUCAUGCAGUACAGGACUGUUCUAGCUUCUGGGUUCUUAAGGAGUGGAUGGAGGUGCGGAGAAGAGAGGGAAAGUGUCUCUCAUCCUAUAAAGACUUCCCAGAAGAAACGGCAGCUGAAAAGGAUCAUCAUCCAUGAAGACAGUUGAUCUAAUUUGCAUUUAUGGAACUGAGCAAUUUAUCAAGGAUUUGGGUGAAUGCAUCUAUUUUAUCAUUUUUAAAAUGAGAAUUCCAUCUCUGAAAAUAAUUUUCUACUCAAUCUGUACAAAUGUAGAGAAAACAGUGAUUAGUGUGCUUGGCUGUCUCUAUAAACUCAAUAAAGGCUAGGAAUAUGGUAGA